GACGAACGCUGGCGGCGUGCUUAACACAUGCAAGUCGAACGAAGAGCGAUGGAAGCUUGCUUCUAUCAAUCUUAGUGGCGAACGGGUGAGUAACGCGUAAUCAACCUGCCCUUCAGAGGGGGACAACAGUUGGAAACGACUGCUAAUACCGCAUACGAUCUAACCUCGGCAUCGAGGAUAGAUGAAAGGUGGCCUCUACAUGUAAGCUAUCACUGAAGGUGGGGAUUGCGUCUGAUUAGCUAGUUGGAGGGGUAACGGCCCACCAAGGCGAUGAUCAGUAGCCGGUCUGAGAGGAUGAACGGCCACAUUGGGACUGAGACACGGCCCAGACUCCUACGGGAGGCAGCAGUGGGGAAUCUUCCGCAAUGGACGAAAGUCUGACGGAGCAACGCCGCGUGAGUGAUGACGGCCUUCGGGUUGUAAAGCUCUGUUAAUCGGGACGAAAGGCCUUCUUGCGAAUAGUGAGAAGGAUUGACGGUACCGGAAGAGAAAGCCACGGCUAACUACGUG
rnacentral:rRNA from 1 species